GACGAACGCUGGCGGCGUGCUUAACACAUGCAAGUCGAGCGAUGAAGUUCCCUCGGGAAUGGAUUAGCGGCGGACGGGUGAGUAACACGUGGGUAACCUGCCUCAUAGAGGGGAAUAGCCUUUCGAAAGGAAGAUUAAUACCGCAUAAGAUUGUAGUGCCGCAUGGCAUAGCAAUUAAAGGAGUAAUCCGCUAUGAGAUGGACCCGCGUCGCAUUAGCUAGUUGGUGAGGUAACGGCUCACCAAGGCGACGAUGCGUAGCCGACCUGAGAGGGUGAUCGGCCACAUUGGGACUGAGACACGGCCCAGACUCCUACGGGAGGCAGCAGUGGGGAAUAUUGCACAAUGGGGGAAACCCUGAUGCAGCAACGCCGCGUGAGUGAUGACGGUCUUCGGAUUGUAAAGCUCUGUCUUCAGGGACGAUAAUGACGGUACCUGAGGAGGAAGCCACGGCUAACUAC
rnacentral:rRNA from 1 species